rnacentral:tRNA from 1 species
UAUAAUAUAGUGUAAACUGCACGCAGAUCUUUGACAUCUGAAGAAGACACAUCUCUUAUUAUAA